rnacentral:misc_RNA from 1 species
UCAGUCGCUUCUUGCUCUUUUCCGUCUCGUGUCCAUCGCCAUUUUUAAUUGACGUCCCAAUCAAAUAAAAAUUAGAUACACAAAACCGAAGUCUCUCUCUCAUUUGGCAAUGCCAAAUUGCCAAUGCCGAUGCCAAUCAACUAAAGGACAAUAAAAAUAGAGGUAAGAGAGACAAUUAAAACAUAUUAUUCAUGGCAACAGCUACUGCUACAACCACAACUACUGCUUCAACCACAACUAGAGCUCACCUUAAAGUUCAAACUCAGCCCACCAAGCCCAAACGCCGCAAGUGCCGUGAAACCACCAUUUCCUCCUCCGCUGCUGCCACAGCUAAUUCUAGUAGUUCUGACGCUGCUUCUGGUUCUGGGUAUUGUUCACAUAGCCAAAGCCGGAAACUUGACCAUCCAACCAUUGUUUCCGCUGAUAACUCCUGGAGCUGUCUUGCUUCCAAACCCACCUCUGCCCCACCUCCCCCACCACCAUCUCCGCCUCCACUACCCCGCCGUUUAACUGUGAAGGAAUCUGACCCCGUUCUUGAUUCGCCAUCAACCUUCAGGUUCCGCUUCUCUCCGGGAAGUCUAUCGCCAGUCAUGGACUUCACUCCCACCUCAGCUUCCACUAUUACCGCCACAACAACCCUAACAAAUGGCCACCACUCUCCUCAUGAACCUUCUUCUUUCCCUUCGAGUUUCACCAAAUUUAACUCUGCACUCACAGCUGGUCUUCUAAACCCGAUGUCGCCCCCGCCGGAUAAGCCCCGAUCCAGUCCGACGCUUUUCGAGAUGAUGGCGAGCGAGCCCGAAAUGCAACCCAGAACCCAGAUCCCGAUUAACAAUGCUAACAUCAAUGUUCGAAGCUCGCNNNNNGUCUGUUCAAGAUAAACAGACUUUAAUCAUGCAGCGAAUAGCUGACAUUUUGGGAAACAGGAGCCG